CGAGGACGAACGCUGGCGGCGUGCCUAAUACAUGCAAGUCGAACGGUCUUUCUAUGGAAGCUUGCUUCCACUGAGAAGAUAGUGGCGAACGGGUGAGUAACACGUGGGUAACCUGCCCAUAAGAGGGGGAUAACAUCCGGAAACGGGUGCUAAUACCGCAUAGUUUUCUUGAUCGCAUGAUUGAGAAAGGAAAGACGGCCUUUGUGCUGUCGCUUAUGGAUGGACCCGCGGCGUAUUAGUUAGUUGGUGAGGUAACGGCUCACCAAGACGAUGAUACGUAGCCGACCUGAGAGGGUGAUCGGCCACAUUGGGACUGAGACACGGCCCAAACUCCUACGGGAGGCAGCAGUAGGGAAUCUUCCGCAAUGGACGAAAGUCUGACGGAGCAACGCCGCGUGAGUGAAGAAAGGUUUUCGGAUCGUAAAACUCUGUUGUCAGAGAAGAACAAGUUGGAGAGUAACUGCUCCAGCCUUGACGGUAUCUGACCAGAAAGCCACGGCUAACUACGUGCCAGCCGCAGC
rnacentral:rRNA from 1 species